GUUCGAGGCACUGACCAUGGGCAAUUAGUUAACGUGCGGCGCUUGUAAUAGAAACUAAUAGCCACUCCCAUUUCAAUUCCUAUUUCUAUCGCCAUUCCCCAUAAAGGCAUUCCGAAAACACGCAUUCUCGUCUAACAACUUCAAAGAGGCCGUCUCGACAGCGGACCGGGGGUACUUUUAAUUAGCUGUGUAAAUUGGUCAACGAAAAUGAAAUUAAUUAGCCUAAGCGAUGUUAAUAACUUUAUCGGCGUUGACAACUUUAUUGGCCAUCAACUGGAGACUGGACUUUGAUUGUUAGUUGUGAUGAGAACAGAUUGGAUUGGAUAGUGAAGCAUUUAAGAUGAGGGAAGAUU
ensembl:ncRNA lncRNA:CR44616 long non-coding RNA:CR44616